UACAGAGGUGGCAAGCGUUGUUCGGAAUCACUGGGCAUAAAGGGCGCGUAGGCGGCGAGGCAAGUCGGGUGUGAAAUCCCUCAGCUCAACUGAGGAACUGCGCCCGAAACUACCUUGCUAGAGUGCAGGAGAGGAGAGUGGAAUUCCCGGUGUAGCGGUGAAAUGCGUAGAGAUCGGGAGGAACAUCAGUGGCGAAGGCGGCCCUCUGGACCAGCACUGACGCUGAGGCACGAAAGCGUGGGGAGCAAACAGG
rnacentral:rRNA from 1 species